CUGGUACAGUACUACAGUGAUUGCUUUGUCAUAAAAUGAGCCACUGUUCUAGGUUCUAAAUGUCGUUCCUGUGGGAACUCUCAGGAGUUCUGUCUCAACUCUAGACUGAAUUGUAAUUUGACAACAGCAGACUAACUUUUUUUUUAAUCAUGAUAGGUUUUUACCCAUUAUGAGUUAAAUUCUAUAUCCUUCCAAACUGGUAAGUUGAGGUCCUAGCCCUCUAGGACUUCAGGAUGUGAACUUAUUUGGAAAUAGUAUUGUUGCAGAUGUAACUAGUUAAGAUAAAGUCAUAAAAGUGGGAGGCCCCUAAUGCAAUAUGACUUAUGUUUUUAUGAAAGGAGAGAAUUUGGACACAGGCAUGCAUACGGGGAGAACAUCGUGCAUACAGGGAGAACAUCAUGCAUAUGUGAAGACAGCCAUUUACCAGUCGGGGAAAGUAGCCUGGAACAGAGUUUCUCU
rnacentral:lncRNA from 1 species